rnacentral:sRNA from 1 species
GCCAGGUGUGGUGGUGCAUACCUGUAAUCCCAGAUAUUGGGGAGGCAUAGACAGGAGGAUCACAAAUCUGAGGCCUGUCUCAGCAAAUUAGCAAGACCCUAUCUUAA